GAUCAAGCGUCAUAAGGGCAUUUCGUGGAUGCCUUGGCACUGAGAGGCGAUGAAGGACGUGGCACUCUGCGAAAAGCCACGGGGAGCCGAGAGCAGGCUUUGAUCCGUGGAUAUCCGAAUGGGGAAACCCCACCGUAAGGUGAUCCUGAACUGAAUUCAUAGGUUCAGGAGGCGAACCGGGCGAACUGAAACAUCUAAGUAGCCCGAGGAAAGGACAUCAACCGAGACUCCGUUAGUAGUGGCGAGCGAACGCGGACCAGGCCAGUGCUGGUACUUACAUAAUCUGAACCGUCUGGAAAGUCGGGCCAUAGCAGGUGAUAGCCCUGUAAGAGUAAACCGAGUAUCAGCCUCGAGUAGGGCGGGACACGUGAAAUCCUGUCUGAACAUGGGGGGACCAUCCUCCAAGCCUAAGUACUCCUCAGUGACCGAUAGCGAACAAGUACCGUGAGGGAAAGGUGAAAAGCACCCCGACAAGGGGAGUGAAAGAGUACCUGAAACGGAAUGCCUACAAGCAGUCGGAGCGGCCUUGAGCCGUGACGGCGUACCUUUUGUAUAAUGGGUCAGCGAGUUAGUGUAUGCAGCAAGCUUAAGCCGAUAGGUGUAGGCGCAGCGAAAGCGAGUCUGAAUAGGGCGACGAGUUGCAUGCAUUAGACCCGAAACCGAGUGAUCUAUCCAUGGACAGGUUGAAGGUGGGGUAACACCCACUGGAGGACCGAACCCACGCCUGUUGAAAAAGUCGGGGAUGAUCUGUGGAUAGGGGUGAAAGGCCAAUCAAACUCGGAAAUAGCUGGUUCUCCGCGAAAGCUAUUUAGGUAGCGCGUCAGACGAAUACCGCCGGGGGUAGAGCACUGGAUGGGCUAGGGGGUCCCAAAGACCUACCAAACCUAACCAAACUCCGAAUACCGGUGAGUACUAUCUGGCAGACAGACAGUGGGUGCUAAGGUCCAUUGUCGAGAGGGAAACAGCCCAGACCGCCAGCUAAGGUCCCCAAGUUAUGGCUAAGUGGGAAAGGAUGUGGGAAGGCCAAAACAACCAGGAGGUUGGCUUAGAAGCAGCCAUCCUUUAAAGAAAGCGUAAUAGCUCACUGGUCUAAUAGCAAUCCUGCGCCGAAAAUGUACCGGGGCUCAAGCCAUACACCGAAGCUGCGGACUUGCGUAAGCAAGUGGUAGCGGAGCGUUCCGUAAGCCUGCGAAGGCGUAUCCGUGAGGUGCGCUGGAGGUAUCGGAAGUGAGAAUGCUGACAUGAGUAGCGACAAAGAGUGUGAGAAACACUCUCGCCGAAAGUCCAAGGGUUCCUGCGCAAGGCUAAUCCGCGCAGGGUGAGCCGGCCCCUAAGGCGAGGCCGAAAGGCGUAGUCGAUGGGAACCACGUUAAUAUUCGUGGGCCUGCUGGACGUGACGGCCUUCGUAAGUUGUAUCCUCUUAUCGGAUUGAGGGUGCAGCGAAGAAGGUCCAGGAAAUAACGCCAGCGUAUAGACCGUACCCGAAACCGACACAGGUGGACUGGUAGAGUAUACCAAGGCGCUUGAGAGAAUGGUGUUGAAGGAACUAGGCAAAUUGACCCCGUAACUUCGGGAUAAGGGGUACCUCCUUCCACGCAAGUGGUUGGGGGUGGCACAGACCAGGGGGUGGCGACUGUUUACUAAAAACACAGGGCUCUGCGAAGUCUAAAGACGACGUAUAGGGUCUGACGCCUGCCCGGUGCCGGAAGGUUAAAAGGAGAGGUGCAAGCCUUGAAUUGAAGCCCCGGUAAACGGCGGCCGUAACUAUAACGGUCCUAAG
rnacentral:ncRNA from 1 species